rnacentral:rRNA from 1 species
UUUAUGGAGAGUUUGAUCCUGGCUCAGGAUGAACGCUGGCGGCGUGCCUAAUACAUGCAAGUCGAGCGAACGGACGAGAAGCUUGCUUCUCUGAUGUUAGCGGCGGACGGGUGAGUAACACGUGGAUAACCUACCUAUAAGACUGGGAUAACUUCGGGAAACGGGAGCUAAUACCGGAUAAUAUUUUGAACCGCAUGGUUCAAAAGUGAAAGACGGUCUUGCUGUCACUUAUAGAUGGAUCCGCGCUGCAUUAGCUAGUUGGUAAGGUAACGGCUUACCAAGGCAACGAUGCAUAGCCGACCUGAGAGGGUGAUCGGCCACACUGGAACUGAGACACGGUCCAGACUCCUACGGGAGGCAGCAGUAGGGAAUCUUCCGCAAUGGGCGAAAGCCUGACGGAGCAACGCCGCGUGAGUGAUGAAGGUCUUCGGAUCGUAAAACUCUGUUAUUAGGGAAGAACAUAUGUGUAAGUAACUGUGCACAUCUUGACGGUACCUAAUCAGAAAGCCA